UACAGAGGUGGCAAGCGUUGUUCGGAAUUACUGGGCGUAAAGGCGCGUAGGCGGCCUUCUAAGUCAGACGUGAAAUCCCCCCGGCUUAACCUGGGAACUGCGUCUGAUACUGGGAGGCUAGAGUAUGGGAGAGGGAUGUAGAAUUCCAGGUGUAGCGGUGAAAUGCGUAGAUAUCUGGAGGAAUACCGGUGGCGAGGCGGCAUCCUGGACCAUUACUGACGCUGAGGCGGCGAAAGCUAGGGGAGCAACGGG
rnacentral:rRNA from 1 species